rnacentral:rRNA from 1 species
AUUGAACGCUGGCGGCAGGCCUAACACAUGCAAGUCGAGCGGAUGAAGGGAGCUUGCUCCUGGAUUCAGCGGCGGACGGGUGAGUAAUGCCUAGGAAUCUGCCUGGUAGUGGGGGAUAACGUCCGGAAACGGGCGCUAAUACCGCAUACGUCCUGAGGGAGAAAGUGGGGGAUCUUCGGACCUCACGCUAUCAGAUGAGCCUAGGUCGGAUUAGCUAGUUGGUGGGGUAAAGGCCUACCAAGGCGACGAUCCGUAACUGGUCUGAGAGGAUGAUCAGUCACACUGGAACUGAGACACGGUCCAGACUCCUACGGGAGGCAGCAGUGGGGAAUAUUGGACAAUGGGCGAAAGCCUGAUCCAGCCAUGCCGCGUGUGUGAAGAAGGUCUCGGAUUGUAAAGCACUUUAAGUUGGGAGGAAGGGCAGUAAGUUAAUACCUUGCUGUUUUGACGUUACCAACAGAAUAAGCACCGGCUAACUUCGUG